rnacentral:rRNA from 1 species
CAUAUGGCGGCCAGGGUUUUCGAACUCUGGCUGCGUCCGACUGAGGGUCGGUUAAAGUUUACACAUACAUAAGUAUGUGCGUAAAUUUGCACGCGUUAUCCAGAGCAAGUACCUGGAUACUCUGUAGUGUGCUAUUUGAUGCAUGAUGCAUUGUUGUUAUUGUGGUAAGUACUGUCAUUUCUGACCGACAGUGCGCCCGUCUGCUGACCACGGUAAUAACUGUGCUUCUGCAUUUAAGUUCAAUGAAUACCACUAUUGUGGCCUGCGGCUGCAUUGGUUGCAUUUCUGACGCAAUUGUGCUACCGUUUUCUGCCAAGGCCGCUUUAGUUGGAGAAGCGUUGGUUGGUUAACGCUUCUUGUUUCGACCUCAGUUCGGGCGCGACUACCCGCUGAACUUAAGCAUAUCAGUAAGCGGAGGAAAAGAAACUAACAAGGAUUCCCUUAGUAACUGCGAGUGAACAGGGAAAAGCCCAGCACCGAAUCCCUCAGCCUCGGCUGACGGGAAGUGUGGUGUUUAGAGUAAUCAAUGUGCGCGAAGCUAUUGCCUAAGUCCUCUUGACUGGGGUUUGAUGGCCCAGAGUGGGUGUCAGGCCUUUAAGGCAGUAGUUAGUGACCUUAGGUUACUCGACGAGUAGGGUUGUUUUUGAGUACAACCUAAAGUAGGUGGUAAACUCCAUCUAAGGCUAAAUAUGAGUACGAAUCCGAUAGUGAACAAGUACCGUGAGGGAAAGUUGCAAAGAACUUUGAAGAGAGAGUUCAAGAGUACGUGAAACCGCCAGGAGUGAAGCGGGUGAAACCACAUGGUUGCUGGAUAGAUUCAGUCGUACUGUUGGGACGCUUGGCUAGUUGUUGCAUGCGCUGCGAGGCGUGUGAGCAGCAAACCAAGUGCUUUCUGUCCUCCUGGCAGUGCGGCGCAUUUCUGUCUAUGCAAUGUGCCACGUGCGGUUGUUUGACAGCUAGAAGCGAUCGGAGCAGGUAGUCUGUACAGUACGAUCUGCGUGCUGUUUCAGAUGAUGGUUCCUUUUGUGAUAGUUUGUUGAGCGACCGAGGACAGUAAUAGCGGCUCCGGCCGCAUUGGGGCGCGCAGAGUGCCCGAGUUGGCAGGUCUUGUAUUGGACUCGAGCAAAGUGCAGUAUGAGGCUUGUUGACUGUUCUGCCAGGGCGCUCACGUUGCCAGAGUGCAAGUGAGAGUUGCUGUUCGGUGGCCAGUUGGUAACUCACCCGUCCCGUCUUGAAACACGGACCAAGGAGUUCAGCAUGCAGGCGAGUCUGAGGGUUAAGCAAAACCCGAAGGCGAAGUGAAAGCAAUGAUUGCUCUUGUAGCAGUCAAGAUGUGAUCCAGGUUCAACGGAAGUUGGCCUGGCGCAACAUCGUCUCGUCGCAGCCUCGUGUAGGCGCGGCGAAGAUUGAGCCUGCACGCUGAGACCCGAAAGAUGGUGAACUAUGCCAGAGCAGGGUGAAGCCAGAGGAAACUCUGGUGGAAGCCUGAAGCGAUUCUAACGUGCAAAUUGAUCGUCUGACUUUGGUAUAGGGGCGAAAGACUAAUCGAACCAUCUAGUAGCUGGUUCCCUCCGAAGUUUCCCUCAGGAUAGCUGGCACUCGGAGAGCAGUAAUACCCGGUAAAGCGAAUGAUUAGAGUGUUCCGGGUUGAAACGACCUAAACCUAUUCUCAAACUUUAAAUGGGUAUGACAAUUGGCUCGCUUGAUUUUGGAGUCAAUGUAGUGCAUGCUUGUAGUGCCAAGUGGGCCAAUUUUGGUAAGCAGAACUGGCGCUGUGGGAUGAACCAAACGUCUGGUUAAGGUGCCUAACACAAACGCUCAUGAGAAACCACAAAAGGUGUUGGUUGAUAGAGACAGCAGGACGGUGGUCAUGGAAGUUGACAUCCGCUAAGGAGUGUGUAACAACUCACCUGCCGAAUCAACCAGCCCUGAAAAUGGAUAGCGCUAGAGCGUUGGACCUAUACCGGACCGUCAGAGUAGAUUUAAAGUAGACUCUGACGAGUAGGAGGGCGCUGUGGUCAGCGUAGAAGCCUAGGACGUGAGUCCGGGUGGAGCGGCCACAGGAGCAGAUCUUGGUGGUAGUAGCAAGUAUUCAAGUGAGAACCUUGAAGACUGAUGUGUGGAGAAGGGUUCCAUGUGAACAGCAGUUGCACAUGGGUCAGUCGGUCCUAAGAGAUGGGUUAACUCCGCCUGAGGUGAGGGAGUGAUCAUACUGUCCGACACUCUAUCCUAUCUCGAAAGGGAAUCAGGUUAAUAUUCCUGAACCUGCUCACGGAGAUCGUUCUCGCAAGGGAACUCGUGCGGUAACGCAAGCUCUCUCGGAGAGGUCGGUGGUAGUCCCGGGAAGAGUUAUCUCUUCUUUGUAAGUAUCCGUGUUCCAUGGAAACGGCUUUGCCGGAGAUAUGGACGUUAGGGUACGUAAAGCAUCGCGUUUUACGCGGUGUCCGGUGCACUAUUAUCGGUCCGUGAAAAUCCGAGUGUGGCAUUGAUUUUCGUGGCAGACCGUACCCAUAUCCGCAACAGGUCUCCAAGGUGCUCAGCCUCUAGUCUCUAGAACAAUGUAGGUAAGGGAAGUCGGCAAAUUUGAUCCGUAAGUUCGCGAAAAGGAUUGGCUCUGAGGACUGGGCUGAUCGGGAUGUUUCAUUAAGCUGUGAGGGGAGCGGUUAGAGUUGUCGAGUCGGUUUCCAGCAAUGGUUACUUGCCUUGGUGACUUUGACUUGUGACCUUCCAGUAGCGUGUUGCAUCUAUGCGGCCGUUGUUCUGUGGCGGUUCGCGUCGGUCAGUGCUAAACAGUUGACUCAGAACUUGCAAGGACCAGGGGAAUCCGACUGUAUAAUUAAAACAAAGCAUUGCGAAGGCUCGCUAGAGUGCUUGCGCAAUGUGAUUUCUGCCCAGUGCCAUGAAUGUCAAAGUGAAGAAAUUCAACGAAGCGCUGGUAAACGGCGGGAGUAACUAUGACUCUCUUAAGGUAGCCAAAUGCCUCGUCAUCUAAUUAGUGACGCGCAUGAAUGGAUC